rnacentral:lncRNA from 1 species
CAUAAUCGUAACAUGGAGCUGGAGGAGGUGGAACAGGCCGUCCAUACCCGUGAAAACAUGGCCCCCCACCAUAGCCAUCGUAACAAGGCCCACAACAUACCCCGCUUGGAUACAUGGGUAUGGGUGGAUAUCCCGGAUAUCCUUGAACCGGUUCACACAUAUUCACUUGCACCGGCUCAGGUCCUUUUGGGGCUGGGGCCGGGGCAGGGGCAGGAACUGGAACUGGUACUGGAACCGGAACAGGGGCUGGAGCCGGUUCCUUUGGCUUGGGUUUUUCCGCAGGCUUAUCAGCAGGAGGUUUAGGCUUUUCUGGCUCUUUAGGCUUUUCUGGUUCCUUAGGCUUCUCAGGCUCUUUAGGCUUUUCCGGGGCUUUAGGUUUCUCAGGCUCCUUAGGCUUCUCGGGAGCUUUGGGUUUCUCAGGCUCUUUAGGCUUCUCCGGAGCUUUUGGUUUCUCGGGUUCCUUAGGCUUCUCCGGAGGUUUAGGCUUAGGAUCCUCCAAAAUCUCAAUACUCUUAAUAUAUUUACCACCUCUGUAACAAAGCUUGUCACGAAUCUUCUCAGGGCUGCAGCAUACCACCUUAAUUCUGACUCUACUACCCUUCUCAUCAUAUAUCUGGUCCCUAAUUUCUACAAACCAAAAAUCCCACACCACAUAAAAUAUCUCAGUUCACAUCCACAAAAAUAAAUACAGCUAAUAAAAAGGAACAUUUUAAAAAGCAAA